UACGUAGGGUGCGAGCGUUGUCCGGAAUCACUGGGCGUAAAGGGCGCGUAGGCGGCCUGAUAAGUAGGGGGUGAAAUCCUGCGGCUUAACCGCAGGGCUGCCUUCUAGACUGUCAGGCUAGAGCACAGUAGAGGCAGGUGGAAUUCCCGGUGUAGCGGUGGAAUGCGUAGAGAUCGGGAAGAACAUCAGUGGCGAAGGCGGCUUCCUGGACACCAACUGACGCUGAGACGCGAAAGCGUGGGGAGCAAACAGG
rnacentral:rRNA from 1 species